rnacentral:rRNA from 1 species
UACGUAGGGUGCGAGCGUUAAUCGGAAUUACUGGGCGUAAAGCGUGCGCAGGCGGCGCGUUAAGACAGGUGUGAAAGCCCCGAGCUUAACUUGGGAAUUGCGCUUGUGACUGGCGUGCUGGAGUGUGGCAGAGGGAGGUGGAAUUCCACGUGUAGCAGUGAAAUGCGUAGAGAUGUGGAGGAACACUGAUGGCGAAGGCAGCCUCCUGGGCCAGCACUGACGCUCAUGCACGAAAGCGUGGGGAGCAAACAGG